rnacentral:lncRNA from 1 species
GGUUGUUUGGGUUGACCCUCCUCCUCCAGAUCUUGUUGGGCGUGCAUUUGAGUCACUGGUUGAUGGUCUAGAAGCAAGUUGGCUCAAAUCUCAUCGUUUAAAGAAGAAGGUGACACAUCUCAAGGAGAAAAAGAAGAAGCUAAAGUCAGAGUUGAAGAAGAUGCAUGACCAGAUUGAAACAUGGGCAUUUCUGAUGAUAAUUGUGGGCAUUUUCAUUCUGUCCUAUUUGCUUGGUUCAAAGAAUGCAUAUUAGUCAGUGAGAUUGUAAUGAAUUUAGCUUGAUGCUAU